GCUGGGCGUGGAGGCUCACGCCUGUAAUCCUAGCACUUUGGGAGGCUGAGGCAGGUGGAUUACCUGAGCUCAGGAGUUCAAGACCAGCCUGGGCAACAUGGUGAAACCCUGUCUCUA
ensembl:misc_RNA Metazoa_SRP Metazoan signal recognition particle RNA